UCACGUGCUCCCACCUGGGGACACAUCUGCUUGAUCAGGCUCCUGGAAAUAAGCAGUGAUACACCUUGUGUGGAUCACUCAUAGAAUCUUCUCUGAGAGAUCUGAUGCCUACAUCAUCGCGUAGUGACAGUGGCACCCCAGCACAGGCUGCAGGCAGGGUGCUGAGAUCUUACAUCGCCAGGUAAUUUGAGCUGCUUCCUCCAUCUAAUGAUUGGCAUGCUGUAAUUCCAUAAAAAUUUCAACAGAGAGACAGGCUCAGAGUUGGCAUUCAGCACAUCACAGGAGAUGCUUUUUGUUUUUUAUUACUGUUGCCUUGAAUCUAUAACAAGAUGACUAUAACCUGGCCCCAAAAAUAUUCACAAACCCCAAAUCUGGCUGUGUGUCUGUAGCCACAGAAGGCAAGAGAAGCAGGCAGCAGCAGCACAAGACAGAGAAUAAGA